UUCUAGCCCCGAUAGUCCCGAAUCUUCGGGAGAAAUCCUUUUUAUCAGCCUUUUUGGCGGAUAAAAAGUUAUAACGAAUAGCGGGAAAUAGC
rnacentral:sRNA from 1 species